rnacentral:misc_RNA from 1 species
AUAUAUAUAUAUAUUGUUUAUGUUGCUGCAAAAACUUUUCCUUUAUACAUGAACUACUUACUUAUAUCUUCCUCAUUAUGCCAGAAGUCCUACACCAUAUAAGAACUAACUAUUUUCUGUUUAUAGCCUGUUUUAAAUCCUCCGCAGCCAAGGAACGAGUCGCUUUGAGCGUCAGAGUAAGCUGGCCUCCAAUGGAUCUAAAUUUGCAUUUGAAUUUUUUGCAACCAUGAUCUCUGAAGCUGACCAUAUG